UACGGAGGGGGCUAGCGUUGUUCGGAAUUACUGGGCGUAAAGCGCACGUAGGCGGCUUUACAAGUCAGGGGUGAAAGCCCGGAGCUCAACUCCGGAAUUGCCCUUGAGGCUGUAUCGCUUGAACACGGGAGAGGUGAGUGGAAUUCCGAGUGUAGAGGUGAAAUUCGUAGAUAUUCGGAAGAACACCAGUGGCGAAGGCGGCUCACUGGACCGUUGUUGACGCUGAGGUGCGAAAGCGUGGGGAGCAAACAGG
rnacentral:rRNA from 1 species